GAAGAUGGCGCCAAAAUACAUAAAUAGAAAUGAAACGUGCAUGUGUGUGGUGUGCCCGAUGCAGAACUUUAUGCAUACUUUAUAUUAUAUUUAUUUUUGAAAAAAAUAUGCUGCGAUGUUAUUUUUAAGCGUACAGUAUUAAAAUACUUCGUUUUAUACAAUAUUGUGGGAUAGGGCUUGAUUUAAAUUUUAACUGUGUCGAAAUUUAUUACAUUUUACAACUAAAGUCUGCAUCGUGAUUUCCAUGACAGAAGAGCUUUUUGUAAAAUUUCCAUUCCUCUUACACUACCUUCCAGAGUCCUUCAGUCUUGGUGAAUGUGCACUUAGAACGAGCUCUUUACAAGAGACAAAGCCACGGUAGUCUGUAGAUGAAAUGUCGGGACUUUGCUGGAAUACAUCGAAAAGUUAUAUAUGCAAUACCUGUAUCAGACUUCAAUUUUUCAAGGAAUGCAGUGACACUUUUCAAAGUAUGAUUUUUUGCUUUCUCCUAAUGAAAAUUCACUCUUUGAAAUAUAUUAGGAUAAAGGAAAAGAUUUCUUCUG
rnacentral:misc_RNA from 1 species